rnacentral:rRNA from 1 species
AUUGAACGCUGGCGGCAGGCCUAACACAUGCAAGUCGAACGGUAACAGGAAGAAGCUUGCUUCUUUGCUGACGAGUGGCGGACGGGUGAGUAAUGUCUGGGAAACUGCCUGAUGGAGGGGGAUAACUACUGGAAACGGUAGCUAAUACCGCAUAACGUCGCAAGACCAAAGAGGGGGACCUUCGGGCCUCUUGCCAUCGGAUGUGCCCAGAUGGGAUUAGCUAGUAGGUGGGGUAACGGCUCACCUAGUCGACGAUCCCUAGCUGGUCUGAGAGGAUGACCAGCCACACUGGAACUGAGACACGGUCCAGACUCCUACGGGAGGCAGCAGUGGGGAAUAUUGCACAAUGGGCGCAAGCCUGAUGCAGCCAUGCCGCGUGUAUGAAGAAGGCCUUCGGGUUGUAAGGUACUUUCAGCGGGGAGGAAGGGAGUAAAGUUAAUACCUUUGCUCAUUGACGUUACCCGCAGAAGAAGCACCGGCUAACUCCGUG